rnacentral:rRNA from 1 species
AUUGAACGCUGGCGGCAGGCCUAACACAUGCAAGUCGUGCGGAUGAGAAAAGCUUGCUUUUUGAUUCAGCGGCGGACGGGUGAGUAAUGCCUAGGAAUCUGCCUGUUCGUGGGGGAUAACUCGGGGAAACUCGGGCUAAUACCGCAUACGUCCUACGGGAGAAAGUGGGGGAUGUCCGGACAUCACGCUAACAGAUGAGCCUAGGUCGGAUUAGCUAGUAGGUGAGGUAAUGGCCCACCUAGGCGACGAUCCGUAACUGGUCUGAGAGGAUGAUCAGUCACACUGGAACUGAGACACGGUCCAGACUCCUACGGGAGGCAGCAGUGGGGAAUAUUGGACAAUGGGCGAAAGCCUGAUCCAGCCAUGCCGCGUGUGUGAAGAAGGUCUUCGGAUUGUAAAGCACUUUAAGUUGGGAGGAAGGGUAUUCACCUAAUACGUGGGUACUUUGACGUUACCAACAGAAUAAGCACCGGCUAACUCUGUGCCAGCCGCCGCGGUAAAAC